GACGUAGGGGGCAAGCGUUGUCCGGAAUCAUUGGGCGGAAAGCGCGUGUAGGCGGCCCGGUAAGUCCGCUGUGAAAGUCGGGGGCUCAACCCUCGGAUGCCGGUGGAUACUGUCGGGCUCGAGUACGGAAGAGGCGAGUGGAAUUCCUGGUGUAGCGGUGAAAUGCGCAGAUAUCAGGAGGAACACCAGUUGCGAAGGCAGCUCGCUGGGACGUUACUGACGCUGAGACGCGAAAGCGUGGGGAGCAAACAGG
rnacentral:rRNA from 1 species